rnacentral:sRNA from 1 species
GUUUGAUAUAAACGUGCGUUAAUAAAUGAAUAAGUGACAUUUUAGUUACAAGCCUGGAGAU